GAGUCUCGAUCGUCGUCCGAAUGACUUUCCACCGUAGAUCGGACCCGUCGAGAUGUGUGUGUAGCCAGAUCCAGCGACCCGAGGUGAGGCCGUUGCAGAUCCGAGUGUGGCGGAGAUACGUUGUUGCGUAGGCGAUCAAACGCUGGAGGUGGGUUGUAUUGCAGAUCUGAGGUGGGUUGCGCCGUCACCUGAUCGUGACCCGAGAGAAGCCGCGUCGCCGUCGUAGUAGCCGCUGCCGGAGAGAAAUGAGAAUUGCAAGAGAAAGAGACAAG
rnacentral:lncRNA from 1 species